AUGGCCGAGACAGGGCCCCUGCUUUCUCUGCUGCUGGGGGCACCAAUUCCAGAGCCUUGGCACCAGACACUCGCCACGAGAGUCAGUGCCCACCGAGGGAGAGUCGGGAAGGCCGGCUCACUCCCUGCCUCCACCCCCUCCUCUCCUGUGGCCUUGCUGCCUUGCCACCAGCCCCUCAUCCCUGCAAACGUGGACCCCGCAGGCACAGAGCCAGUGCCCCUGGUUCCUCCCGAGUCAAAGGGAAGUUGCAGGAGGGGCAACAUUGCUGGCACCAUCUGGGCUCAGCCUGGUCCCCAGCCCUGCUCCUGCCCGCUCUCCCUGUUCCUUGCUCCAUGGUGGGCCCAGCUCAGCUCGCUGGUCCCUGAAUGUCCCCAGCCACCCCCGCAGCCACCCCUGCAGCAGGAAGCAUCUUGGAUCCAGAUGUCUGCGGCCCCUCAGCAGCUGCAGGGCCCCGCCCCUGAGCCCCCGCCUGCUGGCCAUGCUCACAAGGGGCAGCCUCGUUUGCCAGGGACUUCCUCCUGCCACCGAGAUGGGGAACUGCAGGCCCUUCCUGGGGUCCCUGGCUGCUCUGUGGGUACCAUCUGCCCUGCCCCGGAAAUGGAGAAGCAUCUCCCUCCAUCUGCUACGCUUGAAAUCCACUGCACCAGCCCCGCCGUCUGCCGCCACUGCUGGGUGCCCUCGGGGUGCGCUGUUGGCCAGCACCCGCCUCCCAGCCGUUCGUCCUGCCUCCUUGUGCACGUCGGGACCUUGCACACGCUGGCUCGGCCUGGACUCUGGGACUGUGCAUUUCACGCUAAGGAGCAAGGCUGCCCUUGGCUUCCAGGCUGCAGCCCCCCCCCCCCCCCCGAGGACAGAUGGGAAGGCCCCAACCCAAACUGGCGCCCCCGGGGGGGGGCGGCCAGGGAGCCUGGGUUCUCCUGGACUUUGCCCCGGGGCAAGGCCGGGAAAGCCGCCGUGAAUCACCUCUGCUUGGUCUCUGCAGGAAGGUGGGGCUGGGCCAAGGGUCACCAAGGGCGGUUCUGA
rnacentral:lncRNA from 1 species